GACGAACGCUGGCGGCGUGCUUAACACAUGCAAGUCGAACGGAAAGGCCCUGCUUUUGUGGGGUGCUCGAGUGGCGAACGGGUGAGUAACACGUGAGUAACCUGCCCUUGACUUUGGGAUAACUUCAGGAAACUGGGGCUAAUACCGGAUAGGAGCUCCUGCUGCAUGGUGGGGGUUGGAAAGUUUCGGCGGUUGGGGAUGGACUCGCGGCUUAUCAGCUUGUUGGUGGGGUAGUGGCUUACCAAGGCUUUGACGGGUAGCCGGCCUGAGAGGGUGACCGGCCACAUUGGGACUGAGAUACGGCCCAGACUCCUACGGGUGGCAGCAGUGGGGAAUAUUGCACAAUGGGCGGAAGCCUGAUGCAGCAACGCCGCGUGCGGGAUGACGGCCUUCGGGUUGUAAACCGCUUUCGCCUGUGACGAAGCGUGAGUGACGGUAAUGGGUAAAGAAGCGCCGGCUAACUACGUG
rnacentral:rRNA from 1 species